rnacentral:lncRNA from 1 species
GCCCAAAAUGAAAUGGGCCCAAGUAUUGGUCCAGGCGGACAGAAAAACCAAACUUGGGCUCGAGUCUCUUUCCCUCUUUACUUUAUUAUGUUUGUGUGCUCGUUAAUAUUUGCCGCUUAAUCUUAAGGUUUUAAAAAUUCAAAUCCUCAAAAGACACCCAUUUUGAAUUAAUUACUUAACCAAAUUAUUCAUCCCUUACUUGACUUAAU